GCAUCGGUGGUUCAGUGGUAGAAUGCUCGCCUGCCACGCAGGCGGCCCGUGUUUUGAUUCCCGGUCGAUGCA
rnacentral:tRNA from 1 species